GUGGAUGCUCAGUGAACUAUUACUCUGCGGAAUCCUUACUGGUGUAACGUCGUUGGUGAACCUGACUUUCCCGAGAGGGGCUAGGGAUGCCUUCUCAGUGCAGCUGCUGUUCCUCUGCACGUCGGCAAUGACAACAACGGUGGGGAUGGAAGUCUUUCUGUCAAUGCAAGGCCUGGAGCCGGCAGCCGGGGCGGAAGCUCUGGGGCUCCCGCAGCCCAGCCAAGCUGUCCACGGUCAAAAUUCCUACGUAUCCUGGCUCCUCCUUUACCACUUUGGGACAGUCCCUUACGGCUAUCUGAGAGGUUGUUUUCCAG
ensembl:lncRNA